rnacentral:rRNA from 1 species
CGGAGGAAAAGAAACUAACAAGGAUUCCCCUAGUAACGGCGAGUGAAGAGGGAAGAGCUCAAAUUUUGAAUCUGGCGUCUCUGGCGUCCGAAUUGUAAUCUAGAGAAGUGUUUUCCGUGACGGACCGUGCACAAGUCUCCUGGAAUGGAGCGUCAUAGAGGGUGAGAAUCCCGUAUAUGGCAUGGACUCCCGUUGCUCUGUGAUACACUCUCGACGAGUCGAGUUGUUUGGGAAUGCAGCUCUAAAUGGGUGGUAAAUGCCAUCUAAAGCUAAAUAUUGGCGAGAGACCGAUAGCGAACAAGUACCGUGAGGGAAAGAUGAAAAGCACUUUGGAAAGAGAGUGAAACAGUACGUGAAAUUGUUGAAAGGGAAACGCUUGAAGUCAGUCGCGCCGUUCGGGAUUCAGCCUUGCUUCUGCUCGGUUUAAUUCCCGUUGGGUGGGUCAACAUCAGUUUCGAUCGGAGGAGAAAGGCCUGGGGACGGUAGCAGCAUUCGUGCUGUGUUAUAGCCCCUUGUUGUAUACUUCGAUUGGGACUGAGGAUCGCAGCACGCCUCUGGCCGGGGUUCGCCCACGUACGUGCUUAGGAUGUUGGCAUAAUGGCUUUAAG